AUGACUACAGUAUUUAAAAGUAAUGUUUCAGAUUUCAGAUGGACAGAGUUAGGAUCAAGUUUGCCUUUUUUCUAUACCAAGGACUCCAUGAUGACUGACCCCGUAAAGAGCAGACAGAGUUUGUUUCAUUCAAGUGUGAAGAAACGCUCUGGAAUUUUAAGACCAGAGAACACUAAACCAUCUUUUUUAGUUCGUGGCUUUAAAAUACCGAUUAGAACCAGAAGCACAAAGAAGAGUUCUGGACCAGAGCCUCCUCCAGGACUGGACCAGCUCUGUCCCCGCCCCCUCAGUCAGAUGCAGGACUCCAUGAUGACUGACCCCGUAAAGAGCAGACAGAAUUUGUUUCAUCCAGGUGUGAAGAAACGCUCUGGAAUUUUAAGACCAGAGAACACUAAACCAUCUUUUUUAGUUCGUGGCAUUAAAAUACCGAUUAGAACCAGAAGCACAAAGAAGAGUUCUGGACCAGAGCCUCCUCCUAAACAGAGCCAACUCUGUCCCCGCCCCCUCAGUCAGAUACAGACUGGACAACAUGCCAUGCAACAUCAGAGGAACUGCUAGUUCUCCAGAUAUGCAUCUCGCUUAUCGCAGUCCACUGCAUCCUUCAAAGUAAAAGCCAAACUUGCUGUUCACUUGUUACCCAGUUUCAAAUGUUAUAUUUUUUUAAGGAAACAAAGUUCAUUUAAGUCAUUUUUGUAUUUAUUUGUUAUGAAACGUGGUUACACCACAUUGUGCAAAGCUUACAGACAUUAUCACACAUUUUCCUUCAUUAGCUGUAAAGCAGAAUCUUUACAUCACAUCAUUACACAUCUCAAACAGUAAAGUUAAAAAUCCAGUGAUAAAGUGGAACAUCUUAGCAGUCUUUUUUGCAUAACAUCUGGCCUGAGGUAAAAACAAACAAACAAAAAAAAUGUUCUAAAAGUAAAGAUCACAUUUCACCAACUUUUCUAUGUCAAAUUGUGCAAGAGAUUGCAUAGGCACGUCUUACAUUUUCUAAAACAUUUUCUCAGUCCAAAUGCAUUCAGAAUAAUAGCAUUCUGAUUAAACAAAGAAACCUCUUCAGGUAUUUUGACCUACUAAGCGUCCUCACUAGUGUAAAAAAGACAAGGCCACCAUCCUUUAAGGUCUUAAAUAUAUUCUUUUGAGUUUGUCUGACAAUUCCCUGCAUCUGAUCUGCUUAUAGACUGCUAUUGUUUUGAGAUUGGUGCAAACAGCGACGUUGCUCAUCGGCUUGGCUCGUAAAGCUGCAGGUCAAGCUUGACCCACACUUCCCCCGUGGGAACCUCGUGCAGCAGCAGGCGGCGGUUUGCUGCUCCUUUGCUCUCCAUGUCCUUCUUUAUGGUUGCCACGGGAACUUCAGUGCGACCUAGGAAAUCUAGGAAGGGUUUCAAAAAGAAUACAUUCUCAGAAUAAAACAAAACUUUGCUUAAAAAUCUUAAAUGAAGUCUUUUGGGAUCAGUGGUGAUGCCUGAAGUUAGUUUUUAUAAGUACAAAAAGCCUUAAAUGCAGAUUUGCUUUGUUUGUGCGGCACGAACCGUCUGGAGAGAACUGAUCUUUCUCAAACACAGUGAUACACAGGACGUCCUGGUAGAGGUCGUUGAUGAAAAACUGGCAGCUGAAGUUCCACUUGGGGUUCAAAGUAUCACUGGCUGGACGGGACGUGUAGCACUGUGCCCCCAUUGUCAGCUCACAGUAGGGAUUAGUCUUACCUGAGGAAAAGAGUUAUUUUUUCUAUAUUGUCAUAAAAGCUAAAUUAGUUAAUAAUCUUAAAAAAAAGGGGUGUUUUCUCACCGUUUGGCUUACAAGCUUUGAGCUCCUGAGCUUCAAUGACGGUGACCAGCAGCCGACCGAUUCCACUCGUCUUUAGGGAGCGAGCUGCAGAUAUAAAGAGGUUUGAAACACAGGAAUGUUUAAAUAUUGUAUAUAUUUAUAGUCAGAAUAAUAGUGAAUUGCUCCAAAGACCUUUUCUAAAAUGUAGUAUUUCACAAGAACUUCAAAUAUAUUUAAAUAAAUUCCAGGUUCAGAAAAAGGGCAUUUUUAUAAAGAGAAAACAGUCCCCCCCAAUUUGUGUGUUCGUAAUUCUUGAUUUCAAUAUAUUUUGUGCAUGAGUACGACAAUUAUCAUUUUUGAAAAUACAAAAAAGAAUUUACACAUUCAUCCAUUUAGAUUAAAACAGCUUGAAACUAAUUGCAACUAACUGCAAAUCUUUAAAAAUAAUUUGUUUUGGGCAAACAAAAUCACAAUUAUGCACAAAUCUGAUGUGACACUCUUCUCACGUCUCCAAGACUCGUGGGUCAGAGUUUUUGUUUCAGUCGCCUUAAGUUUAGGUUGUGAAUAAUAUCUGGCAAAACUUGUCAUUUUCUCAUACAUUUUUUGAAAAAAAUAAACUCCCCUUUAAAAAAAAAAAGUAUGUGUAUCUUUUCAAAGUGCAAAAAUUUGCAACUUCAGCAUCUUCUUCCUAACUGGGAGCGAGUAUUUAUGGAAGUCUCUGGCUCACCUUGGUAGGCUUUCUCUCUUUUUUUCUUUUCUGUCUCUAUAAAAUGUUCAGAUGCUGCUUUUAUUUUCUGCACCCACGCUGCCCUGCAGGAAAAACAAAGAAACGCAUUCACACCUGUUAGGGUGCAGAACUCCAGGACCGUGCAUUGGUGCAUGAGUGUGUGCGUACCUCUCACUCAGAGUUUCGGUUUUGAGCGUGUAGACGCGAUCGAUGUGUGAGACGUGGAAGACCGGCUCGUCGCUGGAUGGAUCCGGAGGCAUUUUCACCAGAACUUCAUUCAGAAACAAUGGCUGAAGAGAAAAAAAAAUUUUGAUUCUUAAGGAAAUUCUGAAACUUCUGAGCGUGCAUGUCGCUGGCCCUACCGUUUUGUACAUCUUGAGCUGAGCGCUGGUUUUUGGGCUGAACAAUUUGUCCGAUCCCGAGAAAGAGAAAUGUUUAGCGCUGUGGGUGAGGAGCAGGAAAUCGUUGAAGAGGAAAGCCCACAGCUCUCGGGUGCUUUUCGUUUUGUAAAGCCGACCGCUGUGAAGCAGCUUGCGUGGCCCCAGGCAGUUAGUUAAAGAGUUGAAGACCAAAUGCUGAAAGAAAAUUGGAAACAAAACGUUCCUCGUUUGAGCUGAAAAUGCUGAUUCGCUCCUGCUAGCUUCAGGUUCGUGUACCUCAAUCGGCCCUUCACACUGGACGUGGUUCUGCAUCCACUCCAGUCGGUCUGAGUUCUCCUUCUCUCUGACCCCUUCGUUCACCUGAAAGCACAGCUCCUCGGCCCGCUCCAGAGCGUCCCGCAGGGGGGCGUGGUCUGCGUGGCUUUCUGGGGUGUUCUCUAAGAUCUGACCCAAAUUUAAAAGGUGAAUAGAUUCAGCCCGAUAACUAAAAAAAACUAUGAGACAGUCGACCUAUAUCGCUUACAUUUUUAAUCAGCAGAGGGUAGCGAGUGAUUCGCUGCAUGGGCUUGAGGAGGAAGCUGGACAGCGGCAUUCCUUUACAGCGGUAAUUAGUGGCUAUUUUCUGCUCAGAGGAGAGAAAAUGAGAUGUAUAACUUUCCAAAGAAACAUUUUUAAUGUGUGGAUGGAGCUGACUCAUGUGACUCUCACUCGUAGGAAGUCUUUGAAGUCAGGCUGGUUGUUGGUUUUGCUCUGAAGCAGUGCAGCCGCGUUGAGUUGGCAGGAGCAGAAGCAGAUAUAAGGAUGCAUUUGUGCAAGCUCCGACGCCAGCACGUCUCCUAUCAGCUGGAUGGGCAUGUUCUCGCCUUCGGUCUUUUUGCGAGUCCGCAAGGCCCUGAUGAUCAAAAGUAACAAAUUACAAGCAGAAAAAAUAAUUAUGGAGGGAAUGUGAUUUUUUUUUUAGGACGAUAGGUUUAAAAAAUCUGUAGGGAUGAUGGGAACUU
ensembl:lncRNA